rnacentral:rRNA from 1 species
GCGACGCCGCGUGAGGGAUGACGGCCUUCGGGUUGUAAACCUCUUUCGCAGGGAAGAAGCGAAAGUGACGGUACCUGCAGAAGAAGCGCCGGCUAACUACGUGCCAGCAGCCGCGGUAAUACGUAGGGCGCGAGCGUUGUCCGGAAUUAUUGGGCGUAAAGAGCUCGUAGGCGGCUUGUCACGUCGGUUGUGAAAGCCCGGGGCUUAACCCCGGGUCUGCAGUCGAUACGGGCAGGCUAGAGUUCGGUAGGGGAGAUCGGAAUUCCUGGUGUAGCGGUGAAAUGCGCAGAUAUCAGGAGGAACACCGGUGGCGAAGGCGGAUCUCUGGGCCGAUACUGACGCUGAGGAGCGAAAGCGUGGGGAGCGAACAGGAUUAGAUACCCUGGUAGUCCACGCCGUAAACGGUGGGCACUAGGUGUGGGCGACAUUCCACGUCGUCCGUGCCGCAGCUAACGCAUUAAGUGCCCCGCCUGGGGAGUACGGCCGCAAGGCUAAAACUCAAAGGAAUUGACGG